UGGGGAAUAUUGCACAAUGGGCGCAAGCCUGAUGCAGCGACGCCGCGUGGGGGAUGACGGCCUUCGGGUUGUAAAACCUCUUUCAGCAGGGACGAAGCGAAAGUGACGGUACCUGCAGAAGAAGCACCGGCCAACUACGUGCCAGCAGCCGCGGUAAUACGUAGGGUGCGAGCGUUGUCCGGAAUUACUGGGCGUAAAGAGCUCGUAGGUGGUUUGUCGCGUUGUUCGUGAAAACCGGGGGGCUUAACCCUCGGCGUGCGGGCGAUACGGGCAGACUAGAGUACUGCAGGGGAGACUGGAAUUCCUGGUGUAGCGGUGGAAUGCGCAGAUAUCAGGAGGAACACCGGUGGCGAAGGCGGGUCUCUGGGCAGUAACUGACGCUGAGGAGCGAAAGCGUGGGGAGCGAACAGGAUUAGAUACCCUGGUAGUCCACGCCCGUAAACGGUGGGUACUAGGUGUGGGUUUCCUUCCUUGGGAUCCGUGCCGUAGCUAACGCAUUAAGUACCCCGCCUGGGGAGUACGGCCGCAAGGCUAAACUUAAAGGAAUUGACGGGGUCAUAGCUGUUUCCU
rnacentral:rRNA from 1 species